rnacentral:rRNA from 1 species
CCUACGGGUGGCAGCAGUGAGGAAUAUUGGUCAAUGGGCGCGAGCCUGAACCAGCCAAGUAGCGUGAAGGAUGACUGCCCUACGGGUUGUAAACUUCUUUUAUAAAGGAAUAAAGUGAGGCACGUGUGCCUUUUUGUAUGUACUUUAUGAAUAAGGAUCGGCUAACUCCGUGCCAGCAGCCGCGGUAAUACGGAGGAUCCGAGCGUUAUCCGGAUUUAUUGGGUUUAAAGGGAGCGUAGAUGGGUUGUUAAGUCAGUUGUGAAAGUUUGCGGCUCAACCGUGAAAUUGCAAUUGAUUCUGGCCGUCUUGAGUACAGGUGAGGUAAGCGGAAUUCGUUGUGUAGCGGUGAAAUGCUUAGAUAACACGAAGAACUCCGGUUGCGGAGGCAACUUACUAAACUGCCACUGACAUUGAUGCUCGAAAGUGUGGGUAUCAAACAGGAUUAGAUACCCGGGUAGGC